AGUUUGAUCCUGGCUCAGAUUGAACGCUGGCGGCAGGCUUACACAUGCAAGUCGAGCGGAGCGAGGGUGCUUGCCCUUAGCUUAGCGGCGGACGGGUGAGUAAUGCUUAGGAAUCUGCCUAUUAGUGGGGACAACAUUCCGAAAGGAAUGCUAAUACCGCAUACGCCCUACGGGGGAAAGCAGGGGAUCUUCGGACCUUGCGCUAAUAGAUGAGCCUAAGUCAGGUUAGCUAGUUGGUGGGGUAAAGGCCUACCAAGGCGACGAUCUGUAGCGGGUCUGAGAGGAUGAUCCGCCACACUGGGACUGAGACACGGCCCAGACUCCUACGGGAGGCAGCAGUGGGGAAUAUUGGACAAUGGGCGAAAGCCUGAUCCAGCCAUGCCGCGUGUGUGAAGAAGGCCUUUUGGUUGUAAAGCACUUUAAGCGAGGAGGAGGCUACUUGGAUUAAUACUCUAGGAUAGUGGACGUUACUCGCAGAAUAAGCACCGGCUAACUCUGCGCCAGCAGCCGCGGUAAUACAGAGGGUGCGAGCGUUAAUCGGAUUUACUGGGCGUAAAGCGUGCGUAGGCGGCUUUUUAAGUCGGAUGUGAAAUCCCUGAGCUUAACUUAGGAAUUGCAUUCGAUACUGGGAAGCUAGAGUAUGGGAGAGGAUGGUAGAAUUCCAGGUGUAGCGGUGAAAUGCGUAGAGAUCUGGAGGAAUACCGAUGGCGAAGGCAGCCAUCUGGCCUAAUACUGACGCUGAGGUACGAAAGCAUGGGGAGCAAACAGGAUUAGAUACCCUGGUAGUCCAAUCC
rnacentral:rRNA from 1 species